rnacentral:rRNA from 1 species
CAGCCGCGGUAAUACAGAGGGUGCGAGCGUUGUUCGGAAUUACUGGGCGUAAAGCGCACGUAGGCGGAUUGGUCAGUUAGGGGUGAAAUCCCAGGGCUCAACCCUGGAACUGCCUUUAAUACUGCCGGUCUAGAGUCCGAGAGAGGUGAGUGGAAUUCCGAGUGUAGAGGUGAAAUUCGUAGAUAUUCGGAGGAACACCAGUGGCGAAGGCGGCUCACUGGCUCGGUACUGACGCUGAGGUGCGAAAGCGUGGGGAGCAAAC